rnacentral:rRNA from 1 species
CCUCGGCGGAUCAGCCCGCGCCCCGUAAAAAGGGACGGCCCGCCCGAGGACCCCUAAACUCUGUUUUUAGUGGAACUUCUGAGUAAAACAAACAAAUAAAUCAAAACUUUCAACAACGGAUCUCUUGGUUCUGGCAUCGAUGAAGAACGCAGCAAAAUGCGAUAAGUAAUGUGAAUUGCAGAAUUCAGUGAAUCAUCGAAUCUUUGAACGCACAUUGCGCCCGCCAGUAUUCUGGCGGGCAUGCCUGUUCGGGCGUCAUUUCAACCCUCAAGCUCUGCUUGGUGUUGGGACUCGCGGUAACCCGCGUUCCCCAAAUCGAUUGGCGGUCACGUCGAGCUUCCAUAGCGUAGUAAUCAUACACCUCGUUACUGGUAAUCGUCGCGGCCACGCCGUAAAACCCCAACUUCUGAAUGUUGACCUCGGAUCAGGUAGGAAUACCCGCUGAACUUAAGCAUAUCAAUAAGCGGAGGA